ensembl:lncRNA
UUAAAUGUAGCCAUUAUAUACAAAAGUUCUGCUGCGGCCAAGCUGUACGAGUAAACGUGGAUUUAUGGUCUCACUGUGAAAAUCAAAAAGCUGGUUUAGGCUUUGGGAUCCGUUUAUAAUGUUUAAGGAUGAAGGAAAAUGCCUCGUUGGUUUGCACACCGGAAUUGCAACAAAAUUUUGGACCUGGAACAUGGAAAGUAACAUUGAAAUGUGCAAGAGCAGCAAGUAUCAGGGGAGUGAAAAAUAUCAGAAGCCUAUACAGAAAGUUAUUUAGCUACUUUAUAAAUUGUUGCACUCAUUAUAUACCAAAUCAAAGCUUAGUUUUCCCUCUACUUUACAAUUACAGCUACAUAUUUUCAGUUAAAAUGCAAGCCAAUCAUUACUGCCACAUUUAAAGUUUAAAAGGAGUAUUUACCAAGUUAUUAUGCAGGCUUCUUCAGGGAGUUCCCUCCAGCUCUCCAAUCUUGCCCUCUGGAGCCUGGAAAAUAUUUUGGCUUAAGGAGAUGAAAACAGUCUCUUGGGGAGCUGCAGCUACAUGUAUGGGUGUACCUCUAACAGCAAAUAGGAACCCUCAGUGGAGCGUCAACGCAGCUGAAUUAGAGGAUCGUUCUUCUCCUGGGUUUAAUGUAUUUCAGAUGAGCUUCAGAUCAUCUGGAAAGGGUUCCCAAUCUCCCAAGGCAAACACUCAGACACACAGGCGCACCACACCGAGGAUUUUUUUUUUCUCUCUCUCCUUGCUUGCUUCUCUAAGUUUAAUACACCUCCUCUUCCAGGGAUGCCUGGCAAUAUGUGGGCAGCACUAACACUCUACUCAGGGCAAGGAUGAACUAAGUCGUGGCUAGAGGGCGUGGACUGGAGGAGGGGGUUGCGAAUAAAUAAUUUGGGUGGAGUUGCUUUUUAAAAAAAAAAAAAAAAAAAGACAAAAUCUCCCACAGUCCUUAUGCACAUUUUAAAUAUAUACAACUUCACUCUGCAAUCUUUUGACUAUACCUUGGAAACUCCUUGUUUUACAAUAGUUGUAUUUCAGUAUAAUCACAUGCCUUAGAUUUAGACAUGCUAGUCCCCCACCCCCCAUGUAAAAAUGACUUAUUCUUUCCAAAUUCUGCGGAUUCUCCAAGCAAUGACGCAUACAAACCAGCUCUAUGAUUUCACUUCUAUGCACCACCUGCUGACUGUCUGAUAGAGAACACACCCCAGUGCUGAAACCAUUACCACCAUCUCCUCCUCCUGACUAUCAUACAGUCCUCCUCG